rnacentral:lncRNA from 1 species
CGGGGUUUCGUGCAUUUCGACCGUCGGCAGUCGCGAGCGUUCGUGAACAAGCGGAACAGCAAGCGUGGAGCACUCACGAGGACAGAGAAAACCCAAAGCGGGCGAAAGAAUGCGAGGAAGAAAUACCCGGGGAGAGACACUGGCGAAACCUGUCUCGGGUAUUCGGUAGUACCAAAAGCACACACGCGACAGCUGCCUUUAGAGUUCUUAGGCAUCACUGUGCAACUUUAUCAGUUUCAGAUUCUUCAAAGUUUGAAACUUUGCUCCACGACUCUUCUACUUUGUGGCUCUCGAAUCCUCGCCGUAGACCUCGAAGAUCAGAACCUCGUUUUCCAGGUAUUCCAUGAACGCCGGAGUGACGGUUUGCUCAAGAAUCUUUUUGAAGUUAAAGACUGGAUGGGUGUUUGCGCCGUUGACACGCGACGUCUCGAUGUAUCCCGAGGAGAGAUAAGGCUUGAAGCGGACAAAGGUGUUGUUCGCGAAUUCUGCUGGAAGUCCAGAGGCGCUCAGGAUCCUCACCUCGUAGUCUGUGGACAGCGCAGAACGCGGAGUGCAUGCGCGGCAGAAACACCCGAUGAGGUUCAUUUUGCGUGCAGUGAGAAAACUCUAACAUUUGUGUUGUUUCGCUAGUUCUUUCUCUUUUAGUUUUCUCG